rnacentral:rRNA from 1 species
GACAGAGGGUGCAAACGUUGUUCGGAAUUACUGGGCGUAAAGCGUGUGUAGGCGGUCUCAUAAGUCGGAUGUGAAAGCCCCGGGCUCAACCCGGGAAGUGCAUUCGAAACUGCGAGGCUAGAGUAUCGGAGAGGUUGGUGGAAUUCUCGGUGUAGAGGUGAAAUUCGUAGAUAUCGAGAGGAACACCGGUGGCGAAGGCGGCCUGCUGGGCAGUAGCUGACGCUGAUGCGCGACAGCGUGGGGAGCAAACAGG